GACGAACGCUGGCGGCGUGCUUAACACAUGCAAGUCGAGCGGUAAGGCCCUUUCGGGGGUACACGAGCGGCGAACGGUGAGUAACACGUGGGUGACCUGCCCUCAGCUCUGGGAGUAAGCCUGGGAAACCGGGUCUAAUACUGGAUAUGACUCCAUGACGCAUGUUGUGGGGUGAAAGCCUUGUGCGGCUGAAGGAUGGGCCCGCGGCCUAUC
rnacentral:rRNA from 1 species